UACGUAGGGAGCAAGCGUUGUUCGGAUUUACUGGGCGUAAAGGGCGCGUAGGCGGCAAUUCAAGUCAGCUGUGAAAUCUCCGGGCUUAACUCGGAACGGUCAGCUGAUACUGCUUUGCUAGAGUGCGGAAGGGGCAAUCGGAAUUCUCGGUGUAGCGGUGAAAUGCGUAGAUAUCGAGAGGAACACCUGAGGUGAAGACGGGUUGCUGGGCCGACACUGACGCUGAGUGCGCGAAAGCCAGGGGAGCAAACGGG
rnacentral:rRNA from 1 species